rnacentral:tmRNA from 1 species
GGGGGCGAAAAGGGUUCGACGGGGAUCGUUGACGGCAGAGCUGCAUACCGAGGUCCCAUUGGCUCGUUAAACAAAUGGGAUUCAAACAUAAUCGCCAACUACGAUUAUGCCCUUGCUGCCUAAGGGCAGCGAGCGUCCUUCCCGCUCUUUCCUGUAGGGCGGGGUAAGGACGUCAGAAAAACAGGAUAGCUUUCCUCUGAAGCCUAUAGGAGGAAGGCGAAACCCCAUAGGCUAGCCUCUGAGGAAUCCUGCCUGUGGGAGGCCUGAGGGGCGAAGUCAAAACACCGGCUAAGUAUGUAGACGUUCUGUCGGAAGGUUCUCGGACGCGGGUUCGAUUCCCGCCGCCUCCACCA